AUACUUACCUGACGCGAGAGGCACCUUGAUCAACUAGGAGGUCCUCUCAGGAUGAGGCCCUUUCAUUGCACUUCGACUGGGUUGACUCCUGCGAUUACCCCUAAUGUGGGUAACUCGAGCGUAUAAUUUCUGGUAGUGGGGUCCUGCGUUCGCGCUCGUCCCCU
rnacentral:snRNA from 1 species